AUUGAACGCUGGCGGAAUGCUUUACACAUGCAAGUCGAACGGUAGAGGGGGCAACCCCUCGAGAGUGGCGAACGGGUGAGUAAUAUAUCGGAACGUGCCCAGUCAUGGGGGAUAACGUAGCGAAAGUUACGCUAAUACCGCAUACGAUCUAAGGAUGAAAGCGGGGGAUCGCAAGACCUCGCGCGAUUGGAGCGGCCGAUAUCAGAUUAGGUAGUUGGUGGGGUAAAGGCUCACCAAGCCAACGAUCUGUAGCUGGUCUGAGAGGACGACCAGCCACACUGGAACUGAGACACGGUCCAGACUCCUACGGGAGGCAGCAGUGGGGAAUUUUGGACAAUGGACGUAAGUCUGAUCCAGCCAUUCCGCGUGCAGGAUGAAGGCCCUCGGGUUGUAAACUGCUUUUGUACGGAACGAAAAGGUCUCUCUUAAUACGGGGGACUCAUGACGGUACCGUAAGAAUAAGCACCGGCUAACUACGUGCCAGCCGCCGCAGUAA
rnacentral:rRNA from 1 species